GGAUUGGGCCGGGGAUCGGGACCGCAAGUCCCCGGGUACCCAACANNNNNNNNNNNNNNNNNNNNUUCGCCAUUUCUCUUGUGUGGACUAUGCAUUGGUGAAGGCCAAAGACAACAAGAAGAGCCACGUUACCCACAAGUCGGUCCCAAGCAACAAGGCAACCGAGCCACAUCAAAUCGGAGGAUUGGGCCGGGGAUCGGGACCGCAAGUCCCCAGGUACCCAACAGGAUGUCCUAAGACAUGCUGAUCGGGGCGAUGGGACAGUAGUGGGACAGUCUUGUCCUGAUAAUCAGGACAGUACCCCAUCCCAAUAUCCUGCAGGACGUCCGACUGGGACUUGAGUCCUUGGCUCCAAGCACUCUUUAAAGAAAUCAAUAUUUGGAAUGCCUGAAUCUGGUAGAUUAUAGUUUCUGAUCUAAUUCACACCUGUGCAUCCAAAGCAAUCUCAUGUUUAUGUGGUUCAACUCCCAAAUUCCAUAAUAUAAGAGGUCACAUCAAUGUGGUUCAACUCCAAACAUAGUUAGAAGACUUCUGAUUUGCAAAUCUCCUGAGUACCUUGAUUUUAGUAAUUUCAUUACAAUCAGUUUGUCUUCUUAGCCCCAAAUUGUCCCCUUCACUCCUUCAUUUGAUGAAAUAGAAAUCAGUUUUCCUGCUACAUAAAGACCAUUUAAUAAAAGCAGGAAUGUUGCAAAACACAACAGCUUAAGUGCCUAAAUGCCCACUUAUAUGGCCAUGUGGUGGCAAACUACUUUCCAAGCUGCAAUUAAGAUGCAGUCUAAACAAUAAUCUAAUUGUUCGAGGAAAACAUAAUCCAUUUAACAAUCCAAAACAAGAUCUAGAAAUUAAUUUGAAGACUUCGUUUCUCCCAUGUUUUGUAUCUUUUUUGAACAAAAUCCAAAAUCUAAAUGCAUUACCAACACAGUUUAAAGACUAAAUUAUGUUAUAUAUCUAUUCAAUGUUGCUUUUUUUUUUAUCAAGGUGCGCAAUAACUUGGAACAAGCAAAUAAGCACUUAGCCUGGCAGGACUCUUCUGCUUAGGGUGCUGCACCUGCUUUAGAAUCUCCCUAUAAAUCCAUCCCUGCACCAACUUCCUUAUAUAGAAAAUACAAAAUUAAAAAUUAAUAAACCUGCUUCGCCGCAACUACACCUAAAUCUACAC
rnacentral:lncRNA from 1 species